GAACAGCAAGAAUUGAUUUAAUCUGUGAGAUGCCAAAUGGAGCUAAUCCUGAAAUACUUUCUAUCUGUAGAGAUUGAUAGUUUACAAAGCACUUUCAUACAUAUUAUUUCAGUACUUUCCAUAACUAUUAUCUGCGUUUGACGGAUGAAGAAAUAAGGGUAUAAGAGCUGAGGUGACUUGGCCAGGAUCCUGCCAGCCUUCACAGAGUUGGCACUGGAGCCUGGGCCUUCACAGCCUGCCUCUGAGACACUUUCCUGUUUCUAGCACUCAAGUUCCAGUGUCUAUGGCAGCAUGCAAUAGGAUUACAGGAGGACAUCGUAGCCACAGAUAACCCGGCCAUGUUACCUGUUCAUUUCAACCUCUGCGACUAGGCCCAGAUUUCUCAGGACAUUUCCUUCCCCAUGAGCUGAAUUUUAACAUGCAGAUGUCACUCACAUCCUACAAGCUAAGGUGUAUGGGUUUGUGCUGGGACUAGGUCAUAUCUUCAUAUCUGUAUUUUAAAAAUCCCAGAACAACCCCAGCAGUGGUUUUCGAGAUGAGGAAGAGAGGAGACAGAACACCAAGUUCUGCUGGUUACCCUGCUCUUGGACUUCUCAGGUGCUUCAUUAAUAUCCUCUCUGAUGGCAUUUUGAUGCCAUUUUUCUGAUGGCAUUUUGCAGCUUGCCUCAAGUGUCCCUUCUGGUUUUCUAAUGUAGGACAAAGCCCAAGGAUGAGUGGCUGCGGUUGCCAGUCAGCAUUCUCUGCAGAUGUCUUUGGUGUGUGUAGCUGGGGUUAACCCGCUGUCUUAAUGUCUGCCUACUCGGUUUUGCAUGCAAGGAUACGUUAUACAAGAAAAUUCCAUCGAGAUCAUGUACAAGUAAAAUCAGCUUAUUUUUUCCGAAGAGGCAGGGGAGCUACUUCUUAGCAGAGUGAGCUGUAGAGUCUCUCUGGAAUGCAAAACACAGACCUUUGUAUUAGAAGUGAAAUAUUUAGAUAGGGAUCAUUAUGGAGCUCUUUUUAUAGCAAGGCAGGCCUGAAAAACAGAGAGAGAGCUGGGAAAGGAAGCACAAAGGAGGUAAUAAUAUCUGAUUAGCUAAGCAGCUGGAUAACUGAAGGAGAAUUUGUUAAAAACUUAUCAAGACAUCAAAGCUAGAUGUGAGUUGCUCUGUUAGCCCAGGCCACUUGUGGAGCCAUCUCUGGAAUAUUACUGAGCGUCUAAUUUGCUGCUAUUUUUUCCCCUAGCGUCACUCCUUCACUAAGGGAUCUGAGCUGUAACCUGACCUGUAGCUGUCAUCAGGGCUUUUUUUCCAUCCCUGUCAUGGCAUGGGAUCCCAGUGUGGAGAAGCUUAGUUGGUAUUCAAGUCAUCCGCAUCGUACUUGACCACGUGUGAACAAGUAACCUCAUGUUUCUGGGGACAGGCAGGGAGAAACUUGAGAACUUGAUCCCCUUGGGGGCCCUUGGAGGAUUGCUUCCACCAAGCCCUGGGUUUUGCAAGUGACUCGUUUCCCAAUCUAUGGCACAUCCAAGCCUCUUUGGUUUUCUUUUUCCCUGUUCACACAGAUAUAUUUGAGGCACCAUACUCUAUCUGCCCAAGAAAGGAAGAGGGGCAAGGAAAACCAUGUAAGUCAUGCUUCUUUAAAUAUUUUGGCUUCUACCAAAGCAGAUAUGAGAACAAUUGGACUAUAAUGAGAGUUUUCCAUUGGCCUCAACUAUCCUGGACAGUUGAACGCCAAGCCUAGUUUGAUAGGUACCUACUAUGGACCUGGUGGAGCUCCUUCUUAAAAUUAGACAGUGUGUACUGGCCAGAAUGUCUCAGUUUGCAGCCUGAGGAUGAUUAUGCUGAUCCUGGAGGCCCUGGGGAACUGUCUAGGGCACUAGGGGUGCCUGUGCUAACAGCAAAAGACCACUCCCCCACAACACCACACUUGCACAUGCCUCAUGUACAGAGGAAGUAGGUGCCAGGUCUUUUCAGAGAAGAGCUUCAAAGCCCUGCUGCCACCUACGAGAGCCUUUGAUCCAUCUCUCGGCUGAAUCCAGCCCCUCACGGGGCUGAUCCGCUUUGAAACCAGAGCCAGCAGCCCCUCUACAACUCCCUCUGAGUUACCUCACACACAAGAGCACAGGCUUCUGGGGGGCUUCUUUUUAUCUUCCCUAAAUUGCGAGAGGUACUUCUUUCAGCGUUGUCCUAUAGGAUUCUUAAGAACUGCCUGGGAGAUGUCUUAGGGCCAACACAAAGAAUUGCAAACAACAGCCCAGUGUCUUGGAAGCUUUCUCUACAGUUUAGUACGGAUAAACCACAUGCAGAUAGAAAAUAGGAAAAAAAGGAAAUUCAUGGUAAGGCUGCGUAUUUUCUUAUUUCGGGUGUGAGGGGAGUGGAGAAAUCCGUCAUGGAUAAAAUCCAACUUUAAUGACAGUCUGAAGCCCUGAAGCACAGACAUAUUGCAGAGCUAAUGUAUUAUUUUGUUUUUGUUUAUUCUGCAGAAAUGGGGAAAUUUCAUUUUUUAGUAGAAUUACAAGCUCCCCUUUUAUUAUUCACAAGUCCUAACAUGCAUGGCAUCCCGAGCCACAGAGCCUUCCGUGAUUUUAAUACCAGCUUCUUUGCGAAUCUAAACUGGUUUUCCAGUCCACUCCCUGGCAGGCCACGGGGGUUGUUGGAGUGGUGUUACACAUACUUAGCUUUCUUUGGGUGCUUGACCGCCGCCUAUUCUCAGGGGGGACAAGGAGCCUUGCUGUGGGCAUUACCAGUGGGAGGUAGGCAUGGACAGUGAAGUUCGGCACCUGACCUCUGAAUUCCCGCGGCCCUUGCAGGAUAUCACGCCCACGACUGGCGGUCCUCAGCCUGAACUGCGCGUUGGAAUCACCUGGGAAGCUUUAAACAUACUAAACCUGGGCCCUGCUAAAUAACACCCGUAUUCUGAUAUAAUGGGUCUGGGUGUGGCCUGGAUAUUAAGAUUUCUGACUUUCCCCUCCCACCUAGGUGAUUCCAUGUGCGGUCCAGGCUGAGAGCCACUGUCCCGCAGCCUCAUCAUACAGCUUGCCUAGGUUCCACAGCUGUGUCACUUCCUGGCCAUGUGACCCCGGGCAUGUUAACUGAGCUCAGCUUCCUUGUUUGUAACAUAGGGGAAUCACUGCAAGAUUCAUUACGCCUAUCUCCUAGAGAUUAUUGCAAGGGUUCAAGUUAUGGACAUGACUGGGAGGAUACCAUGGACCAGACACUGUUGUGGGACCUGGAACUGUUAUGGCUGGAAAAGGAGAGAUCAGAGUCCCUGCCUUUGUGGCGCUUCUUUAUUUUCUAGUCAUGGAGAUGGUGGAUAAACAAACAAACUUGCAAAUACAUACUGUAAUGUCAAAUCGUGGGCAGUACUGUGAAGGGAAAAUAUGGCCAAGGGGAAGGGUGGCAAGUGGCAGGAGAGAGUGCAUGCACAUAAAGGGCACAUGCAGUCCCGGGCUGUCAGAAAUGCAGGCAACUGGCUGGGCAUGGUGGCUCAUGCCUGUAAUCCCAGCACUUUUGGGAGGCCAAGGCAGGCGGAUCAUUUGAGUUGUGGAGUUCAAGACCAGCCUGGCCAACAUGGUGAAACCCUAUCUCUACUAAAAAUACAAAAAUUAGCCAGGCAUGGUGAUGCAUGCCUGUAGUCCCAGCUACUCUGGAGGCUGAGGCAGGAGAAUCACUUGAAACCAGGAGGCAGAGGUUGCAGUGAGCCAAGACUGCACCACUGUACUCCAGCCUGAGCAAGAGAGUGAGACUCUGUCUCAAAAAAAAAAAAAAAGAAAAGAAAAGAAAAAAAGGAAAGAAAGAAAGAAAUGCAGGCAACUGUGCGUGGCAUCCUUGGCAGGGUCUACAGUGUUUCAGUUCCUACCACUUCACCCUGGGUCAAUGAGAUCUCAGUGUGAUGUCUUUCUCUAAACAGAUUAGACACUCCCUCAAGACAGACCUCAGACUCUGUGCAAGCCCAGGGCCCGAUCGCCAUCUGUGUGAUGAAUCCAGGCACCUAGCUCUGUGCACAGCUUCUCAAAGUGAGCGUAGAUUUGGAGAGAAGAAGGGAUAAUCAGAUGUUUCAUUUACCCAGAACGUCAGCACAGACAGUGGACUGUUCUCAUUCACUCCAGAGCCGGCAUUUCAAUGGAGAUUAGCUGGCGUUCUAGAGGCCGCCUAAUUACCUGACAGGAGAAAGAAGACCAGGACAGAAGCAGCUGAAAUUCCAGGCAGAACAUAGGUUGUUUCAGAAGAAACACAAACUCUGCCUGGCGGUGUCUGAGGCCAUCUUCUUCAGGAAGGUGUUUCUUGGAUGCACUUCAAAGCGGAGGGGGCUUCACAGGUAGAAUUAGGUUGCAGGAAUGAGGGGAAGGUAGUCCCCUGGAAAAUGUGAAAAUGAGGGUUGAGAUGCAGGCAGGAAAAUUCAGGAGGACUGUUGAGUGAAUAGUCGCUCCCUCUGGCAGGUGCCCAGGGUGGGAGGAGGGUGGCAGUGUGAGGACAUCCUGAAACACACACGCUUUGGACUCAGAUCUUGCUGUCGUAGCUCCGCUACCUGAUCAGUCUGUGACCUUGGGCAACUUCCUUAGCUUUAUCUGUGAAAUGGGAAUAAUAGUGUCUUCCCUUCAAUGAGAACCAAAUGAGACAGUACUUUCUGUACAUCGAAUGCUGGUGUAGAGCAGUUAGAACAAAUCUGUAGAUCUGUGGAUCGAUGCUGGUGUAGAGCAGUUAGAACAAAUGAGUCUGGGGAGGUGGACCCAGGCCGUGCUGCACGAGCAGGGCCUCUGCACGGGCCCAGCGCUGACCUCAGGUUUAACCUUUUACUUGAGGUGUGGGAAUGGCUUUUUGGAUACUGUUGUUUGAAGAAAAAAAAAAGGUCAUGAAUAAAACUUAGAAUACUAACAACCACCCAGAAAGCCAGUCCCAUCUCUGCCCAGUAACGCCUUCCUUUCCUGCAGGAAGGUUGGAACCUUCCACAGUUCCACCAGGUAUUGGCCUGGUGGACCAGAUUGAAAGGGUGAGCAGACAAUGGGGGGACAGACACCUGAAGCCAGAGAUGUGGGCCAGGUGGGGGCUGUCGGCCCUUCCCACAGGCCCAGGCAGCUGCGCUGACACAGCUGUCCCUUUGAAAGUUGGCCCCGAGUGGGAAGCUCUGCAUUAUUCUCCCAGCCCACUGCAGAAUGCCUUCUGCCCAUUGCACAGUGGCAGCGUGCUUUGGGCAGCUUGAUGCUGGGGCUGCAUGGAGGGCCUCAGAAAAGUAGGUAGACUCGUAAGACGGGCUUUAUGCUGGAACAGGCACCACCACCCUGCCCUUUCCAGAGCCAAGCUAUGGACAUGGGUCCUGGAGAGGCAGAAAUGUCUUAAGGGAAGGAAAGGGAAAUCCUAAUUACUACCUGGGAAACAGCCCUCAUUUCCAAACCCAGCAGGUGACCUGCAGGAUAAUGUGUGGGCAGUGAUUCAUUAGAAGCUGUAAUCCCUAGUGUUCAAGCGAGAGUUGUAACUGUAUCUAGGGCCUGAGAGAGAGAAACGGGCUUCAUGAAUUACUCCUCUGGCACCGUUGCCUACAUACCUAGGCCUGUAGCAAUUUAUCCCAAAUGAGGAAAUAAUAAUGUCAUUUUCCUCCAGCCUUUCCCUGGGAGGAAGUUCUCUAAUAGAGGGUAGGCAGGUGUUAAGAAGAAAUCUUUCUGUAGUCUCAUUACAAGAUUGGGAUAAGUGAGCUCUUUUUCAGCUUCUGCCUCUCCUGUCCUUGCCUUGUCAGCAGCAGGGUUGGGAGUUAGGCACAGGGCAUGGUGGGAAAGAAGUCUUGCUGGGUUCUCAGUCAUUGCAGUUGGUUGUUUUAGGUAAAGUAAAUUGAUGUUGUGUUUCUUUUCCCUAAAUAUUGACUGUUGAACCUAGUUGUGGAAGAAAAGAUAUCUGUAUUUUGCUCUUA